CAUGCAGGCGGUCGUGCAAGCCCGGCGUGAAAGACGGGGGCUCAACUCCCGAAGUGCGCUGGGAACUGCAGGGCUUGAGUUUCUGAGGGGCAGCCGGAAUUCCACGUGUAGGGGUGAAAUCUGUAGAUAUGUGGAAGAACACCAAUGGCGAAGGCAGGUUGCUAGCAGAAGACUGACGCUGAGGUGCGAAGGUGCGGGGAGCGAACAGGA
rnacentral:rRNA from 1 species